rnacentral:rRNA from 1 species
ACACGACUACAUUAGAUACCCCCGGUAGUCCUAGCCGUAAACGAUACUCGCUAGGUGUCGGCCACGGUGCGACCGUUGUCGGUGCCGUAGGGAAGCCGUGAAGCGAGCCACCUGGGAAGUACGGCCGCAAGGCUGAAACUUAAAGGAAUUGGCGGGGGAGCACAACAACGGGUGGAGCUUGCGGUUUAAUUGGAUUCAACGCCGGAAAUCUUACCGGGACCGACAGCAACAUGAAGGCCAAGCUGAAGACUUUGCCGGAUUAGCUG